rnacentral:rRNA from 1 species
UACGUAGGGAGCAAGCGUUGUUCGGAUUUACUGGGCGUAAAGGGCGCGUAGGCGGCAGAUCAAGUCAGUUGUGAAAUCUCUGAGCUUAACUCAGAACUGUCAACUGAUAACUGCUCUGCUAGAGUGCGGAAGGGGCAAUCGGAAUUCUUGGUGUAGCGGUGAAAUGCGUAGAUAUCAAGAGGAACACCUGAGGUGAAGACGGGUUGCUGGGCCGACACUGACGCUGAGUGCGCGAAAGCCAGGGGAGCAAACGGG